rnacentral:rRNA from 1 species
AUGAACGCUGGCGGCGUGCCUAAUACAUGCAAGUCGAACGUGUUCUCGUUGAUGAUCGGUGCUUGCACCGAGAUUCAACAUGGAACGAGUGGCGGACGGGUGAGUAACACGUGGGUAACCUGCCCUUAAGUGGGGGAUAACAUUUGGAAACAGAUGCUAAUACCGCAUAGAUCCAAGAACCGCAUGGUUCUUGGCUGAAAGAUGGCGUAAGCUAUCGCUUUUGGAUGGACCCGCGGCGUAUUAGCUAGUUGGUGAGGUAAUGGCUCACCAAGGCGAUGAUACGUAGCCGAACUGAGAGGUUGAUCGGCCACAUUGGGACUGAGACACGGCCCAAACUCCUACGGGAGGCAGCAGUAGGGAAUCUUCCACAAUGGACGCAAGUCUGAUGGAGCAACGCCGCGUGAGUGAAGAAGGCUUUCGGGUCGUAAAACUCUGUUGUUGGAGAAGAAUGGUCGGCAGAGUAACUGUUGUCGGCGUGACGGUAUCCAACCAGAAAGCCACGGCUAACUACGUGCCAGCAGCCGCGGUAAUACGUAGGUGGCAAGCGUUAUCCGGAUUUAUUGGGCGUAAAGCGAGCGCAGGCGGUUUUUUAAGUCUGAUGUGAAAGCCCUCGGCUUAACCGAGGAAGCGCAUCGGAAACUGGGAAACUUGAGUGCAGAAGAGGACAGUGGAACUCCAUGUGUAGCGGUGAAAUGCGUAGAUAUAUGGAAGAACACCAGUGGCGAAGGCGGCUGUCUGGUCUGUAACUGACGCUGAGGCUCGAAAGCAUGGGUAGCGAACAGGAUUAGAUACCCUGGUAGUCCAUGCCGUAAACGAUGAAUGCUAGGUGUUGGAGGGUUUCCGCCCUUCAGUGCCGCAGCUAACGCAUUAAGCAUUCCGCCUGGGGAGUACGACCGCAAGGUUGAAACUCAAAGGAAUUGACGGGGGCCCGCACAAGCGGUGGAGCAUGUGGUUUAAUUCGAAGCAACGCGAAGAACCUUACCAGGUCUUGACAUCUUUUGAUCACCUGAGAGAUCAGGUUUCCCCUUCGGGGGCAAAAUGACAGGUGGUGCAUGGUUGUCGUCAGCUCGUGUCGUGAGAUGUUGGGUUAAGUCCCGCAACGAGCGCAACCCUUAUGACUAGUUGCCAGCAUUUAGUUGGGCACUCUAGUAAGACUGCCGGUGACAAACCGGAGGAAGGUGGGGAUGACGUCAAAUCAUCAUGCCCCUUAUGACCUGGGCUACACACGUGCUACAAUGGAUGGUACAACGAGUUGCGAGACCGCGAGGUCAAGCUAAUCUCUUAAAGCCAUUCUCAGUUCGGACUGUAGGCUGCAACUCGCCUACACGAAGUCGGAAUCGCUAGUAAUCGCGGAUCAGCACGCCGCGGUGAAUACGUUCCCGGGCCUUGUACACACCGCCCGUCACACCAUGAGAGUUUGUAACACCCGAAGCCGGUGGCGUAACCCUUUUAGGGAGCGAGCCGUCUAAGGUGGGACAAAUGAUUAGGGUG